rnacentral:SRP_RNA from 1 species
GCCGGGUGUGGUGGCGCAUGCCUGUAAUCCCAGCUAUUUGGGAGGCUGAGACAGGAGAAUCACUUGAACCCGGGAGGCAGAGGUUGCAGUGAGCCAAGAUCACACCAUUGCACUCCAGCCUGGGUGACAGAGUGACACUCUGUCUCAA